rnacentral:rRNA from 1 species
AGGAAAAGAAACUAACAAGGAUUCCCCUAGUAACUGCGAGUGAAGCGGGAAAAGCUCAAAUUUAAAAUCUGGUAGUCUUUGGCUGCCCGAGUUGUAAUCUAGAGAAGUGUUAUCCGCACUGGACCGUGUACAAGUCUCCUGGAAUGGAGCGUCAUAGAGGGUGAGAAUCCCGUCUUUGACACGGACUACCAGGGCUUUGUGAUGCGCUCUCAAAGAGUCGAGUUGUUUGGGAAUGCAGCUCUAAAUGGGUGGUAAAUUCCAUCUAAAGCUAAAUAUUGGCGAGAGACCGAUAGUGAACAAGUACCGUGAGGGAAAGAUGAAAAGAACUUUGGAAAGAGAGUUAAACAGUACGUGAAAUUGUUGAAAGGGAAACGCUUGAAGUCAGUCGUGUUGGCCAGGGAUCAACCUUGCUUCUUGCUUGGUGUACUUUCUGGUUAAUGGGUCAGCAUCAAUUUUGACCAGUGGAAAAAGACUAGGGGAAUGUGGCAUCUUCGGAUGUGUUAUAGCCCUUGGUUGCAUACACUGGUUGGGAUUGAGGAACUCAGCACGCCGCAAGGCCGGGUUUUUACCACGUUCGUGCUUAGGAUGCUGGCAUAAUGGCUUUAAUCGACCCG